rnacentral:rRNA from 1 species
CGUGAAGCAAAUCCCAAAAAUAAACGUACCCAGUUCGGAUUGCAGCCUGCAACUCGGCUGCAUGAAGCUGGAAUCGCUAGUAAUCGCGGAUCAGAAUGCCGCGGUGAAUACGUUCCCGGGUCUUGUACACACCGCCCGUCACACCAUGGGAGUUGGAAAUGCCCGAAGUCAGUGGACCCAACCUACGGGAGGGAGCUGCCGAAGGCAGGUUCGAUGACUGGGGUGAAGUCGUAACAAGGUAGC